AUACGGAGGGUGCAAGCGUUAAUCGGAAUCACUGGGCGUAAAGCGCGCGUAGGCCGCCUUUUAAGUCGGACGUGAAAGCCCUCGGCUCAACCGAGGAACUGCGUUCGAAACUGGGAGGCUUGAGUCCUGGAGAGGGUGGCGGAAUUCCGGGUGUAGGAGUGAAAUCCGUAGAUAUCCGGAGGAACACCGGUGGCGAAGGCGGCCACCUGGACAGGUACUGACGCUGAGGCGCGAAAGCGUGGGGAGCAAACAGGAUUAGAUACCCUGGUAGUCCACGCUGUAAACGAUGGAUGCUAGGUGUCGGGGAGCGAUCUUCGGUGCCGCAGUUAACGCAUUAAGCAUCCCGCCUGGGGAGUACGGUCGCAAGGCUGA
rnacentral:rRNA from 1 species